UACGUAGGGGGCUAGCGUUGUCCGGAUUUAUUGGGCGUAAAGAGCUCGUAGGCGGUUUGUCGCGUCUGCUGUGAAAACUCAGGGCUUAACCCUGAGCCUGCAGUGGGUACGGGCAGACUAGAGUGUGGUAGGGGAGAUCGGAAUUCCUGGUGUAGCGGUGGAAUGCGCAGAUAUCAGGAGGAACACCGGUGGCGAAGGCGGAUCUCUGGGCCAUAACUGACGCUGAGGAGCGAAAGCAUGGGGAGCGAACAGG
rnacentral:rRNA from 1 species